GAUGAACGCUGGCGGCGUGCCUAAUACAUGCAAGUCGAGCGAACGGACGAGAAGCUUGCUUCUCUGAUGUUAGCGGCGGACGGGUGAGUAACACGUGGAUAACCUACCUAUAAGACUGGGAUAACUUCGGGAAACCGUAGCUAAUACCGGAUAAUAUUUUGAACCGCAUGGUUCAAAAGUGAAAGACGGUCUUGCUGUCACUUAUAGAUGGAUCCGCGCUGCAUUAGCUAGUUGGUAAGGUAACGGCUUACCAAGGCAACGAUGCAUAGCCGACCUGAGAGGGUGAUCGGCCACACUGGAACUGAGACACGGUCCAGACUCCUACGGGAGGCAGCAGUAGGGAAUCUUCCGCAAUGGGCGAAAGCCGGACGGAGCAACGCCGCGUGAGUGAUGAAGGUCUUCGGAUCGUAAAACUCUGUUAUUAGGGAAGAACAUAUGUGUAAGUAACUGUGCACAUCUUGACGGUACCUAAUCAGAAAGCCACGGCUAACUACGUG
rnacentral:rRNA from 1 species